GAUAGAGCCCAUGCUUGUGGAGAAAUUCAGCCCUGCAGGACACAUACACUCCAUCCGGCUCAGCAGGGACCAGAAGACCGGCUCCUCACUCCACUAUGCUUCCAUCAACUUCCAGCAUCGAGCUGAGGCUGAAAGAGCAUUGGAAAUGCUCGCUUUUGAGCUCCUUCUGUGGUCUCGGAAGGAUUCAUCCCAGAGGAACACCAGCCUUGGAAACCUGUUCAUCAAGAACCUGGAAAUCGAGUGACAGCUUGGCCCUUUGACACGCCCUCCAUCUUUGGGAAGGUCCUUUCGUGCAAGGUUCGGGCUUUGAACUCUUUGGACUCUUUGGUUGUGAAUAGCAUCUGUGUAGUAUGAUUAGCAUUUUUAAAUACAUUUUUUAAAGCCCUGUAUUAACUCAGUUUAACAUAAAUUCUGUGUGUUGACAUGACAUCACGGCUAUGUCCACUUUGUGUCUCUUGAGGCAGCAUAUGGCUAUGGAGAGGCUCAAUGGCAAACUACUGAACGGCCGCAAAGUGUCCUGCACUGAAUGUCCGUGUCGUGACAGAUGAGAACAGGAAGUCCAAAGGUUUAGGCUUUGUAAGAUUUGAGAGGCAUGAGGACGUGCAGAGGUGUGUCAGUGUGUGCAAGCUGUGGAGGAGAUGAAUGGAAAGGAGCUGAAUGGCAAGCAGGUGUACGUGGGCUGAGCGCAGAUUAAAGUAGAGAGACUCAAUCACAAGUUUGAGCAGGCGAUGAUGGAGAAUGGCCACGCCAGGGGAUUUGGCUUUGUGCACUUCUCUUCUUCCCAGGAAGCCACGAAGGCCAGGAGGGAGAGGAAUGGCAGGAUUUAGGGCAGGAAGCAGGUGUGUGUAGGUGUGGCUCAGUGCAAAGAGGAACAACCGGCUUGCCUUGCCCAUCAGAACAUCCAGAGGAUGCCAAGCAUGCAGGAUAAAACUGUACAGAACAUCUACCAACCUGUACCGCAGUGAAAGGGGUCCCUGGCUGCAAAAAGUUUGAGCACCCCCUCUAGCUACCCCAAGUUACCACAGGAGGCUACUGCUAGCUGGAUAGCAUAACUAACUGCCCCCUGUGAUUCUGAUCUGAAAUAACUGAAUGAAAUAACGUGUCUUAUGAAAUAACAUGUGUUAUAACAGCUGUGUGUAUGUGUGCGUUACAGGCUGCCAAUUACACACCCAGCCAAAUAGUCAAGCCCCGCCCGAUUCUGCACUGGACGGUGCAGACCAUCCAGCCGCAGCAUGAUUUACAGCUGUCUGAUUGUAUAUCACUGUCACAUUUGUUGCAAAAUGUCCAGAAUAUACCCGAUGUGGUUCAACCUGCACUGGUGCAUCAGCAGACCAGUGGCACCGUCACACCAUCAAGCAGUCAGGUGCCAUGUAUGACUGAAGAGUGCGCAAAUAUGACUACAACAAUAUCUGGAGAUACUGUUCCAGUGGCAGACUCAGUGCCGGCUAUAGAAAAAUAUCAGUUCUAGUUCCAGCUGCAGAUGAGGUUCCAGCUCCAACUCAAGCUCCAGAUGCAGAUAAAGCGCCUUCUACAUCAAUGGCAUCAGUGAGUGACGUGCAGCAAGACGAAGACACAUCAGAUGUACCCAUGUGCCCACUAGCUGGGAAGCGUCUGACUAUCUACACGCUGGAAUCCACUCCGAUGAUAAUAUGUUGCGACUGGUCGAGAAAAUCCACCCAACUCUGACUAACAAGAUCACCUGGAUGCUUUUGGAGGGCGAGAACAACUACGAGAUCAUGAACAUGAUCAGAGAUCCUGAACUCCUGCAUGCCAGGGUGGAUGAAAUGGACGCUCUCCUGAAGGCAAGAGAGGCUGGUCACGAGCCGAUGAGGAUACUUAAUGAAAACAGGACAUGUGCUGAUAAUGAUACACAACAAUAUUUUGUAUUUGAAUUUAUCAUUACAUCACAGUUUAAACAGUUUACACAGGGAUAAAAAAGUUCAACAGUCGUAUGAAAUUCUUAAGUUGUAGAGUUCCAUCAACAAAGCAGACACACACACACACACACACACACACGCACGCUAUGUAGUUGUGAAAGACACACAAACUGUGUAGACUAAAACCGCUCUGCAUUUCUCUUUUAGGAAACCCUAAAGAUGCUCAGCAACAACAAGAAGAACAAGAGGAAGAAGAAGAAGAAGAAGAAGAAGAAGAAGAAGAGAAAGAAUAAAUAAACAUUGUACCCGACAUUGCAAGUAUUAUAAAGUGGUCCGGGUCUUGAUUAUUGUCAAGUAGAAUUUUUUAAAUUCAAAAAUUUAAAGAGACUUUUUUUAAUUCAAAGAGAAAUUGUAAAUUUAUUAACUCAAAAGUAAUAAAAUCUUAAGUAUUCGCUGAGAAGAAUAUUAAUAUGGUUUAUAUGCAUGAAAGAGGGAAAUUUAAAUGUCCAUGAGGAAUACUGUAUUUUCCUGAAGACCAACAACAUAUUAACACCACAGAGUCAAAACUUCAUUCUGUUAAGGAGAUUAAGUUGUAAAUUCCUGAGUUAAAUGAAGAACGAAGAUCCAGCUGUGGCCAGGUUUUCAAUAUUAACUGCUUUACUCCAGCCAGGCACAAUCUCACUGGCAUUGCUUGACUCAUUUGCUGCUCAUGACUGCUGAGGCUUCGUCAGAAAAAGGGGAAUAUUCUUUAAAUAGUGUCUUGACGAAUCUGAGAAUUUCUCGAAUAGACCAUAAGCACCCUAGUUACCUCAGAAUGAUCUCAAAUCUAACUCCACAAAAAAAUGGAUCAUUAUUAACUUUAAAUCUGA